GCAUCGAUAGCUCAGUGGCAGAGCGGUGGGGUUUUUACCCAUGCGGCCCGGGUUCGAUUCCCGGUCGAUGUA